UCGUGUUGAUCCAGUGCAAGUAAAAUUAAAUAAAAUAUUUUACAAAUAUGGUCGGUAAACAAAUACUGAAGCCGCGAUAUUUUUAUAAUUCACGGGAAAGACUGUGCGUUGUAUGGGGUCGCUAUAAUUGAAUUUGAUGGUGGAACAAAUAAAAACAAAAACAACGUCGCCUCAGCUGUCCACAGUGCUAGCUUCCUUCGUACUCACAAAUUUAAGGCAAUCAGCCAGUGGACUGGUGAGCAACGAGGCAAUGAUGACAGGGACAUCGUUCGGCAAGAUAUUUUUAUAAUCUCAGCUGUUGAACCUUGUCACGGCUGAUGUUUGUGGUUACCCUUUCUUCAAAAACAAUUAGCAGGUAUUGUCUCUCUCUCUUCUUUUUUUUUCUUUUUUUUUUUGAUAAAAAGUAUAGUCUUUGAAUACAAGAAGAAAAGGAUCGACUCAUACACGUAAAGAUUGACCGGAGACAAUGGAAGGCGACUCAGCCUUGGAGAGGGAAGCUGCUGCGGUCGGAACAGAUGCAGAUAUAUUUUUCCCUCAUAUUUUCUUCACAAAAAAACAAAAAGGUACUUCCAAGGAACAACAUUUGUAAUUGUUCCUCACUGAUCAUAUAGCCAGAUUCCUGGUUUCAUCAUGGUGUUAUGAAAGCUGGAAUGCCAUGUAACCCAAAAAAAAGAAGCUGGAAUGCGAAAAGAAUGAGGAACACGUUCUCGCAAGCUGCUUUUGCCAAGAGUUUACAUACAUAACUCGCCUAGACCAUAAUUUGGUUGAUAACAGCAAGCAAAAUGAUCUUAACCUGUGGAACUUACAGCCAUUACGUUUGAAGACAUGGCUCAUCACAUUUUUGGACCCUACAAUACUUGUUCGAAACGACAUUAAAUUCAAUUAAUACCUUGGAGUGUUGCAGCUUUGGUUCCCCAAGGAAGAAGGCUUUCAAUAAUAGACCAAUUAAUCA